rnacentral:piRNA from 1 species
UGACAGUGCAUGCACAGCAGGAAAUGU